rnacentral:rRNA from 1 species
UAGGGAAUCUUCCACAAUGGACGCAAGUCUGAUGGAGCAACGCCGCGUGAGUGAAGAAGGUUUUCGGACCGUAAAGCUCUGUUGUUGGUGAAGAAGGAUAGAGGUAGUAACUGGCCUUUAUUUGACGGUAAUCAACCAGAAAGUCACGGCUAACUACGUGCCAGCAGCCGCGGUAAUACGUAGGUGGCAAGCGUUGUCCGGAUUUAUUGGGCGUAAAGCGAGCGCAGGCGGAAGAAUAAGUCUGAUGUGAAAGCCCUCGGCUUAACCGAGGAAUUGCAUCGGAAACUGUUUUCUUGAGUGCAGAAGAGGAGAGUAGAACUCCAUGUGUAGCGGUGGAAUGCGUAGAUAUAUGGAAGAAUACCAGUGGCGAAGGCGGCUCUCUGGUCUGCAACUGACGCUGAGGCUCGAAAGCAUGGGUAGCGAACAGGAUUAGACUGACCCUGGUAGUCCAUGCCGUAA